CAAGUUCCUGAUGAACAUGUGAAUGAAUUCAAGUUGAUAGGGAAGUUCAAAAUUUUCAAUCCCAACAACUUAUGGGUGAACUUGAAAGCAAUCAAAAGACUUGUACAAGAAAGUGCACUGAAGAUGGAGAUUAUUCCAAAUCCAAAGGAAGUAGAUGGGGUGAAAGUUCUUCAACUUGAAACUGCUA